rnacentral:rRNA from 1 species
GAACGCUGGCGGUGUGCUUAACACAUGCAAGUCGAACGGGCAAGAGCUGUAGCAAUACAGAAUUCUGCUAGUGGCAAACGGGUGAGUAAUACAUGGGAAUCUACCUUGCAGUGCGAAAUAACAGUUGGAAGCAAUUGCUAAUGUCGCAUAUAGCCGAGAGGUGAAAGAUUUAUCGCUGCAAGACGAGCCCAUGCAGGAUUAGCUAGUUGGUGGGGUAAUGGCUCACCAAGGCGACGAUACGUAGCCGACCUGAGAGGGUGAUCGGCCACACUGGAACUGAGACACGGUC